CUUGUAUAAUGAGCUAAAUGGAGAAGAAAUGAGCUAUUGGAGGCUCUUGUUGUUGAUUUCGCGUCAUUUUGUGGUUUCUAGUUAUGAAAAAGUUGUUAUUUAGACAUUAUAUACAAGUAUUUAGAAACGCUAAUAUAGUGAGGCAAAAAUCCAAAAUGAGUCGUCCGAUAGUCUAUAGCAUCGACGUGGAUGAGAUGCCGCCAGUAACGGCUGAAAACGGCCCACCCGGAGUGCGAAUGAGCUACCUCCGGGGAACGGCAGGGACCAAAUGGGGGCUCGUGUUGCGUGGCUUGCAGUCGCUAUUCGCCAUAGGAGCUUUUGUUUCCAUGUUCACCACCAGUGACUUCUUCUUCAUCGGAUUUUUUUACUUCCUUGCUGUAGCUACUGGCCUCCGGUGCUUCUUGAGCCUUCUUUUGGCGGUGUUAGAUGUACAUGCUAUAUCAGUGAAGCGUAAAUUUUCUCAUCCCGUUUGUUGUUAUUGAUAUGAUCACUUCUGCACUAAUACUUAUUGCAGCAUGUGGUUCUGUGGGAAUCGUUAUCGUGAUGAAUGAAUGGAACCGCUGUUCCGGGAACCAGUGUACAAGGAUUGAAAUCUCGAUAUCUCUCGUUUAUAUGACUUGGAUUUUCAGUAUGCCUUCCUGUUUGUUGCAUAUAUGGUCAUUAGGCUCUCUACGCCGAGUACACUGGUAAGUCGACCAUAUGUGUAUAGAUUUGUGUAUAUUUUGUUGAAUGUAUCAUUUGGUUCUUUGGGUAUUUGGUUUAGUUUUCAUGCGAGUCGGAGGUUAUGCUGGCUAGGAAAUAAUGAACCAGCUUAGUACCAUUAUAACAUAUUCGGUUUCUAUCUUCACAGACACUAGUAGUAAUCUUGGGUCGCUUUUUCAAAAUAAAGGAGUAGAAGAUAUCCAGCGGACCGGCGCAAAUUACCUUCUUUGAUUUAGGUUUUUUUUUUUUUUUUUUUUGUUAUUUAUCGCGUAUGUUAAUUAGAAGACAAUAUGAUGAAUUUAUUUAUUUAUCGUUCAGUACUAUCCUACGUGGUAAUUAAUAUAUCUUAGAGAAAUUCCAAGUGAAAUAUUUUGCUUAGAGUUGAUUGUAUAUUUGUAGUUCUUGACUGUGUAUUAAUAGAAAUUUAUUGUAAACUAUUUUUCGUUGACGGUAUAU